rnacentral:misc_RNA from 1 species
AACUUUUAACAACGGAUCACUUGGUUCUGGCAUCGAUGAAGAACGCAGCGAAAUGCGAUAAGUAAUGUGAAUUGCAGAAUUCACUGAAUCAUCGAAUCUUUGAACGCACAUUGCGCCCCUUGGUAUUCCGAGGGGCAUGCCUGUUCGAGCGUCAUUAUGACCACUCAAGCCUGGCUUGGUGUUGGGGUCCGCGGUCCUGCGGCCCUUAAAAUCAGUGGCGGCGCCAUCUGGCUCUAAGCGUAGUAAUACUCCUCGCUAUAGAGUCCUGGUGGAUGCUUGCCAGCAACCCUCAAUCUCACGGUUGACCUCGGAUCAGGUAGGGAUACCCGCUGAACUUAAGCAUAUCAAUAAGCGGAGGCU